rnacentral:rRNA from 1 species
UACGAAGGGGGCUAGCGUUGCUCGGAAUCACUGGGCGUAAAGCGCACGUAGGCGGACUUUUAAGUCGGAGGUGAAAUCCUGGAGCUCAACUCCAGAACUGCCUUCGAUACUGCGGGUCUCGAGUCCGGGAGAGGUGAGUGGAAUUCCUAGUGUAGAGGUGAAAUUCGUAGAUAUUAGGAAGAACACCAGUGGCGAAGGCGGCUCACUGGCCCGGUACUGACGCUGAGGCGCGAAAGCGUGGGGAGCAAACAGG